CGAGAUAAUAAAUUGGAAGAAUUGUCAGAGUAGAUGUGGGUUGAUAACAUCAGAUUUGGAAAAUCUAUUUCUCCAACGAAACGAAAUUUGUCCUUAUUUAAUUCUUAUUUUUCAAGUUUGUUUCUGCAGUUGAAAUUAGGUAAGAGAGUGAGAUCUUGGCUUUAUCUUGGUAUCCUGGAAACACUCUAGACACUCAUAAUGAAAUGUUUUGAGUCUAAUUAACAGCUCUUAAACUUACACCAACUCUCGAACUUACCAUAAAAGAUGUUUUAAGUGAGUAAGAUACUCUUAUUUUCACAAGACAUAGCAGGUACUGAUCUUCGAGUGUAUAAAGAUGUAUUUCUUAAGCGAGAAUGUGGAGGAUGUGUUCGUAUUAUUUCCGUUGCAAUAAGAUAUGUAUUUUCAUGGAAUUCAAAAUACGAAAAAAUUAAUUCAAAAACAAAGUGUUCUUAAAAAUAAUUGCAUAUUAUGCCGCAAAAAACAUUAUUUAAAUAGCAAAAUAUUUUAAUAAGUAUAGUUGGAUUUCUAAUUUGUUUGUAUUAUUAUAACCAGUUUGAAUUGACAAUUACUAGUGUGUCUUGAUGAGUUGCUGUUAAAAUGUAUGCUUAACUUUAAGCAACUCUUUAAAAAAUUUGAAAAUUCCAAGUGACAUUCGAGUUAAAGGUAAAUCAAUAGAUGUCAUUUCGUCAAUAAUUGAUCAAUAGCUGCAUUAAAAAUUGUUUUGAGAUAUUAUUAAAAUUUUCAAGAAAUAAUAUGAAAGAACGGAGAAUUUAAAAAAUCUAAGUCAUGUAUUUUUUAUUCAUAAUCAUUUUUUUCUUUUCUUGAGCCUUAUUUUAUAUAUUUAAUCCUUUAACCUAAAUAUUUAUAGCUAGAUUCAUAAGAUGAAGUUUUGUUUUUAAAUAACCUUAGUUAUAUAAUUUUGUAUUGUAAAAUUUAGACAUUAAAACAACAAGCGUUCAAGGACAACUUCGUUUUUAAUCGAGUAUGUACCUACGAAUACCGAAAAUAAAUUUAACUAUAACAUUCCAGUACAAAAUU